rnacentral:lncRNA from 1 species
AAAAAUAGUAGAGAUCUCUUCUUGCUCUCUCUCCCUUUUCUUGCGGCUAGGGUUUUGAAACCCCUCAUCGCCGUUGUUGCCACGGUGCCACCACAAGGCGGUGGUAAGGGCGGUGCGAGCUGGCCUACCCUGAGGUGUCCCCGAAGGCCAAGCCUUCUUAACCCAAAAGUUGCGAAAGAAAGGUCUUCCCCUCCUUAGUCGGUCCGAUCCCGGUGACGGAGGAGAGCCCUCCGUGAAGAAAUCACGAGCGAUUCCGGUGAGACCUUCUUCCUUUUUAUUAUUUUUUUUCGUGCACACUUUUUAAAUGGAUUUGUAGUAAAAAUAAAAUGAAAGGAAAAUAAAAAAAACGAAUAGAAAACAAGAAUAAGAAUCGAAAUCAACCUUAAACUUUGUUCUGCUCUUUGAUUAAAAUGUAUGCGUAAAAAAAUACAAAUAACAUAUUUUCGCUUUUAAAGCAGAUCUACAAUCCGUUGGCCUUUUGUUUUUACUUUUUGCUAUUUACUCAUCUGCUUCUCGCGUGCUUUCUUUGCUGCUAUUUUUGAUUUGGUUGCAGGUGUUGCGCGACGAAUGGAAGAGGUGGCGUGUGGUGCGAUGAAACGGCGCGCGUUGGUGGCCAUGCUGGUGGGGAGCGGCGGCUGAAGGCUUGGUGGCUAGGGUUUGCUGAAAAUUUUAUUUGUGUUGUGGGCUUGGACUAUUAGGGUUUGUAAAUUAGGUUUGGGUAUUGUCUUAUUUGGGCCAUUUUAAUAUAUAAAGGGACUGUUAAUAAACAUUUGGAUUUUCACCCAUUUUUGGUUAUUUUGUUUUUAAAACAUGGGUCAAAAUUGGCUAUUACACCACUCAAUAGAAAAUCCCUCAUAGAUUGUCCUUGCCUCGAUUUAAAAACUCUUGAUUUACAAUUGUCAUUGCAAAGCCAAGUAACUAGCCUCCAACUUGAUUUUGAAACACUCCCCCUACUGCAACAUAGGAUUUUUUUAAAAGAGAUGCGAUCCUCAGUGUUAUUUUUCACCCACCUAUCAAUGGUGGUUGCCAGACACUUUUUGUAUGUAUAUUGUUGUGAAGACUAACUGCAUUUUUGGUAUAAGUAAAGUUUCUAGUCCAAGUUAUACUAGUGGCAAUCAAGGUAGCACUGCUAUAGCAUGUAUCUUUAAAAACAAGAUCAUCCCUGUGCUUCCAUAUUAGCCAAUAACCAGUUGAAAACAGAGUUUUCGAUUCUCCAUAAACAACUGUGAGUCCAUAAGAAUUGCACAUAUUUGCAUUAAGCUAGACUUCCAAGGAAGAAGAGAAAUAUGAAUGCCAAACAUUUUGAUUUACCAAUGAUUUCCAAAUGCCAGUCGCAUAUAGACAGUCUCUAAUAGCAUGUAGAGUUGUUUCAAUAAAACCACCACAGUAUGCACAAUGGUCAUCUCCUGUCAUUCCCCUCUUAACUUGUAUCUCACUAGUAAGUAGUCAAUUUUGUAGCAAUAGCCAAAGAAAGGUUUUCACCCUCUAUGGAGUAGGUCUCUUCCAAACACUUGAAAGAACCCUGUAGUUUGCUAGCUCUCUUUGCUCCAUAAAGUGACUAUAGGUUUCAGCUGAAAAGAAAACACCUUUCGACAUCCACCUCCAAGCCAAGCAAUCGAGGGCAAAUUCUAUGGCUAGUGGCAUAAUUGUAGCAAUGCGAACGAUGACAUUCCUUGGUAGCUUAGUUUCAAGCAAACUCCAAUCCCAUGAGCCAGUGUCAGUCACCACAUCACAAACUCUCAGAGUUUCAUCAAUACAACCCCUGCCUAUAUAAAAAGAUUUUAGAGGGCCUACACUCUCCACCCAGAAAUUAUUCCAGAAAUUGACUAGACAGACAUCUCCAAUCAUCCAAAUGGUAUCUUCUUUAAUCUCACUCCACUGGUUGGAAAGCGAACGCCAGAGAUGCGAACAAUUAUUUCAUUCAAUGAAUUCGGGUAAUACCCCAUGGACAUUAUAUUUGUUCUUUACCAUACGAACCCAGAGUGCAUUAGUACUGGUUAGGAUGUUGUAACCCAUCUUUAGUAAGAAAAUCUUAUUUGAUCCGUAAGUGAUCGGAUGUGUGACAGCCCUAAAGUGACCCUAGUCGGAAAGCGGUCUCGGGACCGCUAGACCGAGUCACCAAAUUAUUUGAAUGUGAUAAUUAUUGCCUAAAAUAUGUGAAUAUAAAUGUGUGAAAGUUUUAAGCUUCGAUUUAGUUAAUUGCAUGUGAAUUUAGUUGAUAGGACUUAUGUGAGAAAAUUUAGAAAUGUGCUAGGCAAAUGCAAGUGGCCUAAUAGUGCAUGUAAUCAAAGGGGUGGACUUGCAUGUCAAUUUCCCCCCAUUUAAGUACUAGUGGCCGGCCAUGACAAGGGACGAUGGGCAAAACAUGUCAUGAAACAUGUUGUGUUAAUGGAAAAAUAAAAUAAGAAGCAUGGGCAAUAAACUAAUAAGAAAUUGAAGGAAGAAAACAAAGAAAAAAAAUGUGUUCAUCAUUCUCAUGCAUGACCGAAAAAAAAAAGAAGGGAAAGGCUUCAUACUUUAGUUCUUCUUAGCCGUGUAGAAGGGGGAAAAGGGAAAAAAAAAAGAACAAAAAGUCUUUCUCAUUUUGUUCUUCUUGGCCGAUUGUGAAGAGGAAGUAGGGAGGGAGGCAUUUGGUCAUCCUAGGCUAAUAGCAAGGUAAGAAGUUUAUAUUAGUUCAUGAAAUUUUGGUUAAUCUUGAGUAAGAUAUCAAACUACUUUUGUAACCCAUGUAGAAAUUUUGAUUUGUGUUAUGGACUAGGGCUUUCGGCUAUGAUAUUUGACAAUGGUGAAUUUUGUUGUUCCAUGUUAAAUUUAGAUGAGCAAAGAUAGAUGAGUGUUUGAACUAUACAAAUAAUCAUAUGUGAGCAAUGGGUGCUAAAGGGAAAGAAAUCGGCUACCUUAUUAUGUACCAAGGCCGAAUGUGUACUUGGUAAAGGAGGGGUUGUUAUUGAACAGUAGGUCAUGUCCCUAGUGAAUGGAUGAAUUGAUAACCAUUGUGUAUGAAGAUUUGCUUUACUAUGUUUUUGCUAGCAAGAUGAGAAACGAGUUAAGAUGGUCUUGGUGUAAUUGCCGAAUGCAUGUUUAAGGAAUUGGUUAAGUACAUUGUUAUUAAAUGCUUGUUGUUAAGGAGUUUUGAGUUGGUUAUAAAUUGGGUUUAGUGUUCGAGGAACAUUGGUUUGGGCACCUAGUGCCGAAUGUGUUCAAACGCAACUUACCAAGUGCAUAAAUAUGAUAAUGCUAUGAUGGUAGACUUAAUUGGAAUUCGGCAUUGUAAGUGAUGCUUUGGGCUCUUGUGUUGGUUAGGGACAAAAUGUAUGUUAUGAGGAACUAAAUGAUGUAUAUGAAUUCGAAAAUGCAAGGUAUUAAGCUAGUCCUAUUAUUCGGUGGUGCAUGAGUAGAGCACAUGUAUAAUGCUUGAAUAACUAGUCAAUAAAAUUAUUCGCACCAAAUUGUAUAAUAUAAAUGUAUUUCAUCGAAUAGUUAAAUUGAUAAAUUAUUGAAUAACCUCUAUCUGUUUGAAUUAAGCUCAAGAGCUUAGAGGACCAAAGUUG